rnacentral:siRNA from 1 species
UGCUAAAAUGAUGACAAAUGGAUG